AUUGAACGCUGGCGGCAGGCCUAACACAUGCAAGUCGAACGAGUGGCGGACGGGUGAGUAAUGUCUGGGAAACUGCCCGAUGGAGGGGUAUAACUACUGGAAACGGUAGAUAAUACCGCAUACCAUCGGAUGUGCCCAGAUGGGAUUAGCUAGUUAGUUAGGUAACGGCGCACAUAGGCGACGAUCCCUAGCUGGUCUGAGAGGAGGAACAGCCACCCUGGAACUGGGACACGGUCCAGACUCCUCCGGGAGGCAGCAGUGGGGAAUAUUGCACAAUGGGCUCAAGCCUGAUGCAGCCAUGCCGCGUGUAUGAAGAAGGCCUUCUGGUUGUAAAGUACUUUCAGCGAGGAGGCGUUACUCGCAGAAGAAGCACCGGCUAACUCCGUGCCAGCAGCCGCGGUAAUUC
rnacentral:rRNA from 1 species